UGGGGAAUAUUGGACAAUGGGCGAAAGCCUGAUCCAGCCAUGCCGCGUGUGUGAAGAAGGUCUUCGGAUUGUAAAGCACUUUAAGUUGGGAGGAAGGGUUGUAGAUUAAUACUCUGCAAUUUUGACGUUACCGACAGAAUAAGCACCGGCUAACUCUGUGCCAGCAGCCGCGGUAAUACAGAGGGUGCAAGCGUUAAUCGGAAUUACUGGGCGUAAAGCGCGCGUAGGUGGUUAGUUAAGUUGGAUGUGAAAUCCCCGGGCUCAACCUGGGAACUGCAUUCAAAACUGACUGACUGGAGUAUGGUAGAGGGUGGUGGAAUUUCCUGUGUAGCGGUGAAAUGCGUAGAUAUAGGAAGGAACACCAGUGGCGAAGGCGACCACCUGGACUGAUACUGACACUGAGGUGCGAAAGCGUGGGGAGCAAACA
rnacentral:rRNA from 1 species